rnacentral:rRNA from 1 species
UACGUAGGUGGCGAGCGUUUGUCCGGAUUUACUGGGCGUAAAGAGCGCGCAGGCGGUCGUGCAAGUCGCGUGUGAAAGCCCCCGGCUCAACUGGGGAGGGUCACGCGAUACUGCUCGACUUGAAGGCAGGAGAGGGAAGUGGAAUUCCCGGUGUAGUGGUGAAAUGCGUAGAUAUCGGGAGGAACACCAGUGGCGAAGGCGACUUCCUGGCCUGUUCUUGACGCUGAGGCGCGAAAGCUAGGGUAGCAAACGGG